GUGACGUCAAGACUAACAUUUCAAAAAAGUCAGAGAGAAUUAGUCAGCCCAUGCCCCGUCCCUACAGAAGAGAAAACAUAAGUACAAAAAUUUCCUCUGGGCUCUGUGAGUUCUUGUGGCUCCACUCCCCGCCUGUUAAGUUGCCGAUCGGAGACACCGUCUCCCCUUCGUGAGAAGUGGAAGAGAAUGGUUUUCUGAAAGCAAUAGGACUGAAGAUGUUAAAACUGAAUUUCUGACUGUCCAGGAGGAACCGGCAUGGAACCAGCAUGGUGUUUCCUGCUGCCCUCUUCACACUUGCCAGCCAAUGCUCUGUUACUUCAGGAUGGGAGUGAGUUUCAAGAGUAACUGGAGGGCUUGUUUCCUGAGUCAUCUUCUUGUGAGCCCAUGCUCUGUGAAGGAGAAAGCAAAGUGGUGUGUUUGUGAUCAACACCAUCAAGAGGACUCUUGUGAAAGCAGCAUGCCAGCUACCCAGCCUGUCUCUGCAGGAACCACAAAAUAACCACAGGCAACCUGGGCCUUCCCUAAGCAUACGUAGAGGCAGUUCCUGAACAUAUUUUAAAAGGUUUUUCUGUGAAUUUAUAGGUCCUGGUUUUCAAGAACAAUGGAGCAACUUUACACUUAAAAAAAUGAAACCAA